rnacentral:lncRNA from 1 species
CCUCACGCCAGGAUCCCACCCUGAGGUACUGCCUCUGGGAUGAGACCAAGACAUCAAUUUGCUUUAAAAGACCCCCAGGUGGUUCCAGUGCACAGCAGGUUUGAGUGGCUCUCAGAUUGUCUCUGAGGUUUCUUCCCACCUCUUGUGAGUCUGUGAGUCCUGUCUAUAAGGAAUGGGCCUGUAGAUGCUUUGCCCCUACCCGGGGCUUUAUUCAUGUUUCAGGAUUCAUACAACACUUUUCAUUGAACCCGACCUUUUUCCGUCUGCCGAGAGACUGCAUUCUUGAAUCCUCCUUUAAUAAGCACUUCUGAGGACGCUAACCCCUCUCUGUGGUAACUGUACCCAUGGGGUGGUGUAUUUUAUUCCCUUCCUCUGCCUAGGAAAAGGAGUUAAAAUGUCAUGAAAGAAGCCCCGGGCAUAAAGGCAGGCACAGCCAUCAGUGUGACAGGCUCCUGACUUCUCAGUGAGGAGCCGUGCCCAGCACAAAGUGUCGUGCAGUGCUCAGACCCCGGGAUAAGGAGGAAAGACCUGCACAGCUCACUCUUCAGGUAAAGCUCUCCAAUGUCCCAGAGAACUGACAGAAAAGUCGGCACAUUGCAAAUGCUGCCAAGAGAGCUAAGCAGCAAGUUCCAGGCAAGAUCCGGAUGCUGGGGAAAGCCUGGAUGUUUCUGUGUAUAUAUCCACACGAAACAGACACAGAGCCCAAAGAAGACGGGGAGCAGAUGUGAAAUGCUCUGAACUGGUUACAGGUGAGCCGGGGAGGAGGAGCUCUGUUUUGUUGGCUGACUGCCUGCUGUUCCAGUAACUGUGUUAGAGGCGUGGCUGCAACAGCCUAGGACCAAGACUUGAAGAUUGGGUUCUGGCCUUGACCUAUGGUGAGGGUCACAAUAGACUUUAUCAUUCAAACCAGGACACUUUUGAGAACCCAAGGAGGCCCUUUAGUAGUUCCUAUGGGACAACAUGUGGAAACGGGACUGUCUUGGGCAAAGUGGUACAUACAGUCCCCCCACGUCGAUCUUGGGUAAGUCACUGAAGCUCUGUGAGCUUCAGUUUCAUCAGUUCUUAAAACAACAAAAAAUACCUGUCCUAUCUCACAGGGUGUGAGGCUCAAAUGAGAUAAUAAAUUUGGAAAGUGUUGUGAAAAUAAGGAAUCA